rnacentral:lncRNA from 1 species
UCGAUCCCAGCCCCAAAUCCAAUCCCAAUCCCAUUCCCGUAUUUUCAGCUGUGCCGUGGCCACCCUUCAGGCCACUCUGGUUCGGGCCGGGAAAUCCCAAAUCCAAUCCCAACCCCAGAUCCCAUCCCAAAUCCAAUCCCAAAUUCCAAUCCCAAUCCCAAAUCCUGAUCCCAAUCCCAAAUCCAAUCCCAAAUCAAAUCCUGAUCCCAUUCCCGGAUUGUCUAACUGUGCAUUGAGCACCCUUCAGGCCGCUCUGCUUCAGGUUGGGAAAUCCCAAAUCCAAUCCCAAAUCCCAAUCCCAAUCCCAAAUCCAAUCCCAAUCCCAAAUGCAAUCCCAAAUUCCGAUCCCAAUCCCAAAUCCAAUCCCAAUCCCAAAUCCCAUCCCAAAUCCAAUCCCCAAUCCCCAAUCCCAAAUCCAAUCCCAAUCCCAAUCCCAAACCUGAUCUUGAUCCUAAUCCCAAUCCCAAAUCCAAUCCUGAUCCCAAAUCCAACCCCAAAUUCAAUCCCAAAUCCCCAAUCCCGAUCCCAAAUCCAAUCCUGAUCCCAAAUCCAACCCCAAAUCCAAUCCCAAAUCCCCAAUCCCCAAUCCCCAAUCCAAUCCCAAUCCCAAAUCCCAUCCCAAAUCCAAUCCCGAUCCCAAAUCCAACCCCAAAUCCAAUCCCAAAUCCCCAAUCCCGAUCCCAAAUCCAAUCCCGAUCCCAUUCCCGGAUUUUCCAGCUACGCCGUGAGCACCCUUCAGGCCGCUCUGGUCCGGGCCGGCGGCUCCGAGGUCGUGCGGGACGUUGGGAAUUCCGGAGGUUGGGAAUUGAUGGGAAUUCCCGAGCGGCACCACGAGGGAAUCGCUCUCCUGGCAGGCUGCUGUCCCACAGGGUGGUGACCGACCUGAACCUUCUGGAGCCGAUCCUGGAAUCUCUGAGGCCUCUGGAAAAGGAUCCCUCGCUCCUCGUGCGGAUCCUGGCGCUCCGAGGCCUCGGGAACGCGGCCUCGGGAUCGCCGGAAAAGGUGGGAAGGGAUAAAAAAAAAUCCGGGAAAAAUCCCGGGAUUUCCGUUUUUUCUGGGAUGUUCUUCCCUGGGUUUGGGAAUGGGAUCGUUCCCGAAAUUCCCGGCUUGGGAAUUCCCCUUGGGAAUUUCUCAGAUUCCCGAAUUUC